rnacentral:lncRNA from 1 species
CUGUGUCUGAAUCCACAGGGUAAGCUGUUUUCUGCAGCACCCCUUCUCCCCGGCUCUCCCGUGGACCAAGCCUGUCUCUCAUCCGUGGGUGCCUGCUGCUCUAAGAGGCCUCUAGCCCUUGGAAAUACCAGGAGGGUGGGCACUGUAUCCCACGUGCGGCCACCUUCAGGGAGGAUAAACCCAACCCCUGUGGAUGGAGCUCUAGAAUGACGAGGCGGGGAGGAGGGGUGGUCCAGGAGGGGGCACUCCCUCGGCCUGAGCAUUGGCGGCUCUCCCCACCCAUCCUCUCUGGGCUGGGGCAGGACAGGCCGGAUGGUGGGGCAUUGCGGGAGGCUGGCGGCCCUGGCUGGCAAAGCCCUCAACAGAAUUUGCUUUGGAAGCACAAGAAAGGGCAUCUGGGCCCCUGCUGAAGCUCUCUCUCUUGGGGGGGGGGGGCCUCGCCACUGAGCAGACCCCCCAACUCGUGUCUGGUACGUGUCCAUCUGCCUGCUCUCCCCUCACCCUGACACUCACAGUUGUUUGAGGGAUGGGCUGUUGUACUCAUGUUCUGAGGCUGCUGCAGCAAAGAUCUGCAGACCGGGGGUCCUAAAACCACAGGAGCUUAUUCUCUCAGGCUCCGGAGGCCAGAAGUCCAGCAUCCAGGUGUGGACACACCGUGCUCCCUCUGGAGGUCUGGGGGAGUGGCCUCCAGCUUCCAGAUGUCAUCAGUCUGGCCUUCCAGGGCUCGAAGCCGCAGCCCCUCGAAGUCUGUCCCUGCAGUCACGCAGCCUUCUCCCCUGGGGGUCUGUCUCCACACUUCCCUCUUAUGAGAACACCAGCGUCCUGGACCGAGGCCCAACCCAAGGACCUCUUGGUGACUUGAUGACACGGUCCCAAUCGCAGCCUGGAACAUGGAUGUGAUGUCUGGAGCUGUGGCAACCCUCUGUGAGCACGACGGAAGCCAAACAUGAUUGCAGAGAUGCUGGUCUGACAUGACUGGGCUGCUGAGCAGACGUGCCUGCCUCCAGGACUCUUGUUAUGGGAGAAAAAUAAACCCCUGUUGGUCCAAACCA